GUGCCAGCCGCCGCGGUAAUACGGAGGGUCCAAGCGUUAUCCGGAUUUACUGGGUUUAAAGGGUGCGCAGGCGGUCAGGUAAGUCAGUGGUGAAAGCCCACAGCUCAACUGUGGAAUUGCCAUUGAAACUAUUUGACUUGAGUACAGUCGGAGCGGGCGGAAUGUAGCAUGUAGCGGUGAAAUGCAUAGAUAUGCUACAGAACACCGAUCGCGAAAGCAGCUCGCUAGACUGAUACUGACGCUGAGGCACGAAAGUGUGGAUAGCAAACAGGAUUAGAUACCCCGGUAGUCC
rnacentral:rRNA from 1 species